rnacentral:rRNA from 1 species
CCUACGGGAGGCAGCAGUGGGGAAUUUUGGACAAUGGGCGAAAGCCUGAUCCAGCAAUGCCGCGUGAGUGAAGAAGGCCUUCGGGUUGUAAAGCUCUUUUGUCAGGGAAGAAACGGUGAGAGCUAAUAUCUUUUGCUAAUGACGGUACCUGAAGAAUAAGCACCGGCUAACUACGUGCCAGCAGCCGCGGUAAUACGUAGGGUGCAAGCGUUAAUCGGAAUUACUGGGCGUAAAGCGUGCGCAGGCGGUUUUGUAAGUCUGAUGUGAAAUCCCCGGGCUCAACCUGGGAAUUGCAUUGGAGACUGCAAGGCUAGAAUCUGGCAGAGGGGGGUAGAAUUCCACGUGUAGCAGUGAAAUGCGUAGAUAUGUGGAGGAACACCGAUGGCGAAGGCAGCCCCCUGGGUCAAGAUUGACGCUCAUGCACGAAAGCGUGGGGAGCAAACAGGAUUAGAUACCCUGGUAGUCCACGCCCUAAACGAUGUCUACUAGUUGUCGGGUCUUAAUUGACUUGGUAACGCAGCUAACGCGUGAAGUAGACCGCCUGGGGAGUACGGUCGCAAGAUUAAAAACUCAAAAUGAAGUUAGUACGGACGUGAGAGUUGCCGACGGACGACGACGAGGGGAGGGAGGGAG